rnacentral:rRNA from 1 species
AACAAACGCUGGCGGCGUGCCUAAUACAUGCAAGUCGAACGGGUAGCAAUACCAGUGGCGCACGGGUGAGGAAUACAUAGAUAAUCUGCCUUCGAGUCGGGGAUAACCAGUCGAAAGAUUGGCUAAUACCGGAUAAGACCACAAGAUCUGCGGAUCAAGGGGUUAAAGGUUUUUCGCUUGAAGAUGAGUCUAUGCGAGAUUAGCUAGUUGGUGAGGUAAUGGCUCACCAAGGCGACGAUCUCUAACUGGUCUUAGAGGAUGAUCAGUCACACUGGAACUGAGACACGGUCCAGACUCCUACGGGAGGCAGCAGUAGGGAAUAUUGCGCAAUGGGGGAAACCCUGACGCAGCGACGCCGCGUGAGUGAUGAAGGCCUUCGGGUCGUAAAGCUCUGUCGUAUGGGAAUAACACAAUGAAUGUACCAUGCAAGAAAGGAUCGGCUAACUUCGUGCCAGCCGCCGCAGUAAAAC